rnacentral:lncRNA from 1 species
UUUGUCAUGAAAAUAUUAGAAAGUAAUGAUUAAACAGAUGUAAUUUUUUGAGUUUUACCCUGUAAAUAUUUUUUUACAUCUUUACUUGUUUGAAACAUGACCAAAAAAAGUGAAAGUUUUACAUUAAAUUUCUGCUUUUGAAAUACUAAAAAAAAUAAAAUAAAACAUGUGAACAUUAAAACAUUCAGUUUUAGGACAUUUCUACAGUUCACAAUCAACAAAAUAUCCAUGUGUCAAAAAUAUUCCUACCAAAAUUUGAAUCUUUGAUAGAAGUUUACUUGUACCUAGUAUGAAACCUUUUUUUACUACAGAUCCCAAUGUUAUAGAUAUACAUAUAUGUUUUUUUGUACAAAAUUUUGACUUUAGAUUCUGCAAAUACCACCACUUUAGCUAAUAUUUAACAACAACUAACAUUAAAGCAUUUUAAUUUCUAUCAUCAUAAAAUAAAUAUAAAAUUUAUGCAAAUAUGAUUUACCAAAAAAAUAUAAACAAUAUACAAAUGUAUAAAAAAAAGUACAAAUAAAAAACCCUACCAUAUAAAUCAGAUCACAGGGAAAAAAAAUCACAGACUUGAUCAUAUCUUAAAAAGCUGUUAUUGAUGAACAGUUUAUUUAAAUUUCUUCAUAAAAAGUUGCUUGAUGAAUAGUAGUUACAAAAGGCAAAAAUUGUAAACAAAAUCCACAAUAAGUUUUUCAAUCUAAGAAGAAAUAGAGUAGAAAGGUAGAACUUCAGUGUCACAUCACGUUACAAUAAGGUAAUUUAUUAGUCUUUAGACAUAUAUACUUUGGUUUUCUUGAAUGUAAUGAAACUUCCCAGUGCUUAGUAUUAUGAACUGUACAUUAUUUCUCUAAUAGUUAAAAUAAAUUGCAGUAUCAAAAUAGGGUUCUCAUUGUGUCCAACUUAAUACAUGUACUAGCAAAAUACAAAUUUAGCUAUGCAUAUCGGAAAUCACUUUUUUACCUGGUACACCUUUAACAUCCACCAUUUAUUUUCAGAUAUAUUAACUAUGUUACACAGUGAUUUUGCUAGCGCUCGUCACUUUCAUAUUUUAGGAAAGGGUUUUCUCAUUGACGAAAGUAUUUCAAAUCAAUUUCGUCACUUUAAUUUUGAAAGUGUAAAAAAAAUUUCGCAAUAAAAACUAUAAAUCUACUUGUCUUCAUGUUUUUAACAAGUUUAUGACCUCCAGGUAAUUAACAUUUUCAACAAGUGUUACAAGUUGUGAUUACAACUAAUC